ensembl:lncRNA
UUCAUGUGCCAUAGGUGCGGCCCCAAAAGACCAAAAUAAAUAAAUACAUCUAAUGAAAGUAGGCAAGGAUGACACUGCUGUGUAGGCUUCAAAAGAGCCUGCAGAAUGUCAAGUUUUAGACUCCCUGCCUGCUAAAGAAGUUGUUGGCUUGAGAGCAUCCCUGGUGAGUUUGUGCUGUGGUCUGAUGCUGCUGUAGGCGGCUAUGGGAAGGAUAGCUCUUUGGUGAGUUCUUUCAGGAUUGCGAAGGAAGAUUUCGAUAGACGAGGGAAAGAAUUUCAUCUCCGGCAGGCCAGACCGUUUUCAUGAUCCAGGAGGAAGCAGUGAAUGGUGCCCCCUGCUGCACUUGAGGCUUGAGAAAAUUCCCGGGCCAAGGAUCGAAUAGUGACCCUGUCCACGGCAGUGACCACACCGGAUCCUUAACCUUCUCAGCCACCGGGGAACUCCGGUGCUUUUACUUUUUUUCACUAAUCAGAAGACAGUAUAAUUAUAUCAUGGAAUGCCUUUUAGAGUGUUAUGUCAUGAUUUGAAGGUUAUUGUGCUGUAUUUUUGUGGCCGACAUUGCUAGUGAUCAAAGGAAACUUACAAAAAUAUUGAGAAGAUGGGUAGAAUUAUUAGAAAAAAAAUUUUAGUAGUGGUAAAAUAUAUAUAAAGUUUACCAUGUUAAGUGUACAGCUGGUUGGUGUUGUAACUGUAUGUUGAAGUGUACAGCUUGUUGGUAUGGAGUAUACUGUGUGGUUAGGCAGGUUCCCCCCAUCCAUUUCUAGAAACUCCAUACCCGUUAAACAGUAAUUCUCUUUUUCUCCCUCUAGCCCCCUGACAGCCACCAUUCUGCUUUCUGUCGAUGGAUUUGAUUAAUCGAAGUACCUCAUAUAAAUGGACUCACCCUGUAUUUGUUCCUUCUGACUGGCUUAUUUCACUGAGUAGAAUGGCUUCAAGGUUCGUCCGUGUUGGGGCCUGUGUCAGAAUUUCCUUUCCCUUUAGGGCUGAAUAAUAUUCCAUUGUGCGUGUUAUACUGUGUUUUGCUGACCCCUUCUUGGCCACUGUGGACCAUGCUGCUAUGAACAGGUAUCAGAAGUGUCCCAGCUUUCAGUUCCUUUGGAGAGUUAUCCAGAAGUGGAACUGUCAGUUCAUAUGGCCUUGCUGGUUUUAGUUUUUUGAGGAACUGCUGUGCUCUUUUUCCAGAGCGAUGCACCGUUUUAUGUUCCCACUAGCAUUGCAUAAGGAUUCCAGUUUUUUUCACAUCCUCAUCAACACUUGUUAUUCUCUGUGAUUUAUUUGUUUGGUUGCUUUGCUUUUUGGUUUUUUUUUUUGUUUGUUUUGGCUUCACCCUUAUCACGAAGAAGUUCCCAGGUUAGGGGUCUAAUCGGAGCUGUAGCUGCUGCCCUAUGCCACGGCCGCAGCAACUUGGGUUCCAAGCCUCGUCUGUGACCCACACCACAGCUUACGGCAACGCCAGAUCCUUUACUCACUGAGCAAGGCCAGGGAUCGAACCCGCAACCUCAUGGUUCCUAGUUGGAUUCGUUAACCACUGCGCCAUGACGGGAACGCUCCUGUAUUUGUGUCUUUGAUAAAACCAUCUCAGUGGGUGUGAACUGGCACCUCAUUAUGGUUUUGGUUUGCAUUUUCUAACAAUCAGUGAUAUUGAGCAUCUUUUUGUGUGCUUCUUGGCUGUUUGUAUAUUGUUAGAGAAAUAUGCAUUCAAGUCCUGUGCCAAGUUUUGAUUUGGGUUGUUUGCUUUUGGUCGAGUUGUAGGAGUAAUUUCUUUCUCUGUAAAAUUAUAGUAUAGUUGAUUUACAAUAUUGUGUUUCAUGUGUCCAGCAUGUAAUGAUUUAGUAUUUUUGCAGAUUAUACUCCAUUAUAGAUUCUUACAGAAUCAUGGUUAUACUUCGUUGUGUAUGUGUAUCCUCGUUGUUUAUCUACUUUAUAUACAGUGGCUUGUAUCUCUUAAUCCCCUACCCCUAGUUUGUCCCUUCCUCCUUCCCCCGCCCUCUUACCCCUUGGUAACCAUGAGUUUGUUUUCUCUAUCUGUGAGUCUCUUUGUUUUGUGUAUACAUUCAUUUGUAUUAUUUUUUAGAUUCUGCAUAUGCGUGAUAUAUGCUAUUGGUCUUUGAUUUAUCUCCUAAGCAUAAUAUUCUCUAGGUCCAUCCACUUGCUGCAAAUGACAGUAUUUUGUUUUUUUUUUAUGGCCAAGUCAUUUUGUGUAUAUACUACGUCUUCUUUUUUUUUUUUUUUGUCUUUUUGCCUUUUCUAGGGCCGCUCCUAUGGCAUAUGGAGGUUCCCAGGCUAGGGGUGGAAUCGGAGCCACAGCAACGCGGGAUCUGAGCUGCGUCUGCGACCUACACCACGGCUCACGGCAGCGCCGGAACCUUAACCCACAGAGCGAGGCCAGGGAUUGAACCCACAACCUCAUGGUUCCUAGUCGGAUUCGUUAACCACUGCGCCACGACGGGAACUCCUGAUUUCUUAAUAUUUAUUUACCUUUUCAACUUUUCACUAUGAAAAUUUCAAACAUAUAUAAAAAUAUAAUGUCAUAAAUCUUAUACACCCAUCACUAAGGUUCAAAAAUAGCCAAUCUUUUUAUUUAUAAUCCCUACCAUUAUUUUGGAGCAAAUACUAGACAGCCUGUCCUUUCAUCCAGAGAUACUUCUUUGUAUCAUUCUAAAAGAUAAUGGUAUUGGCUGUUACUGCCGGAGGCAUUUGUCCUGAGAGCACUUUGAUGGUUUGUUAAGGUGUGGAGCCAGGAUAUUGCGCACAGAUCUGCCGCUGUGCUUUGUUUCUGACUUCCUCUGGGUGAGGUGCUCUAGGAAACCCUGACCUCAUCUAAACUGAUGCCCCUCACUGGUUUGCCUGUACACAGCUUCAAAUUACUUAUCCUAGACACCAAUUAUAUUACAUUACUCUAUGGUAAACUAGAUUAUAAAAUAAAUCCUACUGUGAGAGUGAUUUUGUAUUCCUUAAAAAAAAAAAAAGACUUGGAAGAAAUCCAAGUGACAUCCUCUUUUUUUUUUGUUUUUUGGUUUUUUUUUUCGUUCUUAGGGCUUUAAAGUAAUUACUUUGCUUUCUUAAUACUUUAUUCUCACGUCAUCUUUGAACACAUACAUCUGUUUAGCGGAACUGUAUUCUUUUUUUUUUUUUUUUUUGCAGAAGUUCCCAGGGCCAGGGAUCAAACCCAAUCCACUGCAGUGACAACACUGAGUCUUUUACCACCAGGCCACAAGGGAACUCCAACAGUUUUUCUUUUUAAUUCAUGUAUUGUGGUGUUCCUGUCAUGGCUCAGUGGUAACAAACCCCACCAAUAUCCGUGAAGACAUGGGUUUGAUCCCUGGCCUUGCUCAGUGGGUUAAGGAUCCAGUGGUGCCCUGAGCUGUGGUGUAGGUUGCAGACCCAGUUCAGAUCUGGCAGUGGCUGUGGCUGUGGCGUAGCCUGGCAGCUGUAGCUCCAAUUCGACCCCUAACCUGGGAAUCUCUGCACGGCCCUAAAAAGACAAAAAUAAAUAAAUAAAUUCGUGUAUUGCAGUAUCAGUUAGUAGUUAAUCAGAGACUUGAAUGUGCCUUGGAGGUCUUCUUGGUGAUUGGAUAGUUUGUGAAUAGAAAUACAAAGGUUUAGGGUUUCUGUGUUAACAGCACUUUCAUUUUAUUUAUUAUUCCAUGCUCACGUGGCAGUUAAACAUUAAAUAUUUCUUGUUAUAACAUAGCACACAGAUACAUGCUUUAUAUACUGGAGUCAAACAGUAACUUUGCAGAGGGAAACAUAAUUUCCUUUCUCUUCCAGUCUCUCCCCAGAGGUGUGUAUUCCUUAAGUUUGGUGUGUAUUCUUCAGCCUUUUUUCUUCUCCUUAAAAAAAAAAAAAA